rnacentral:misc_RNA from 1 species
ACACCUCAACUCUCAUGGUUUGCCGUGAUGAGCUUGGACGUUGGGGGUUUUGCUGGCCUGUGGUCGGCUCCUCUCAAAUGAAUCAGCUUCCCAGCGUUUGGUGAAGUCCGCAGGUGUGAUAACUAUCUACGCUUGUGGUUUUUCACCAGAUAACCUUUGGUGACGGAGGUUCGUUGGGGCUCAUAAAUGUCUCUCCUCAGUGAAGACAGCUUUUGAAC